AGAACGAACGCUGGCGGCAUGCCUAAUACAUGCAAGUCGAACGAGACCUUCGGGUCUAGUGGCGCACGGGUGCGUAACGCGUGGGAAUCUACCCUUGGGUUCGGAAUAACAGUUGGAAACGACUGCUAAUACCGGAUGAUGACGAAAGUCCAAAGAUUUAUCGCCCAGGGAUGAGCCCGCGUAGGAUUAGCUAGUUGGUGAGGUAAAGGCUCACCAAGGCUACGAUCCUUAGCUGGUCUGAGAGGAUGAUCAGCCACACUGGGACUGAGACACGGCCCAGACUCCUACGGGAGGCAGCAGUAGGGAAUAUGGACAAUGGGCGCAAGCCUGAUCCAGCAAUGCCGCGUGCAGGAUGAAGGCUCGGUUGUAAACUGCUUUGUACGAACGAAACGUUCUCUCUAAUACAGGGCUAAUGACGGUACCGUAAGAAAGUAAGCAACCGGCUAACUACGUGCCAGCAGCCGAC
rnacentral:rRNA from 1 species